UCGCCCGCUACAACAAGAAGCCCACCAUCACCUCCAGGGAGAUCCAGACCUCCGUACGCCUCGUCCUCCCUGGGGAGCUCGCCAAGCACGCCGUCUCCGAGGGCACCAAGGCCGUCACCAAGUUUACCUCCUCUUAGAUCGCGUCGCCUGUAUCUAGUAGCAAAUGUAGUUCCUUGCUGUUGGCUUAGUGCUUGUCUGUGGACUCUGGUUAUCUGCAAGUAAUAUUAGUCCUACUGUUGGAUGAAAAUUGCUGAAUCAUUGCAAAUGGUUUGUUGGCUCGUUGGCCACCUGCAAGAAGUGAGUUAUGUCCGCUGGUCUAUUGGCCAAUGAAGAUUUCGGAAACAAUGUUGUGUUGCUGGUUCUAUUUACUGAUUUCGGCGGUGAUUUACUUAAUGCCUAACAUGUUCUAAUUUUUAUUCAAUCUCAGACAUGAGAUUCUGCUUACAAUUCCUGCC
rnacentral:lncRNA from 1 species